rnacentral:rRNA from 1 species
GAUGAACGCUGGCGGCGUGCCUAAUACAUGCAAGUCGAGCGAACGGACGAGAAGCUUGCUUCUCUGAUGUUAGCGGCGGACGGGUGAGUAACACGUGGAUAACCUACCUAUAAGACUGGGAUAACUUCGGGAAACCGGAGCUAAUACCGGAUGAUAUUUUGAACCGCAUGGUUCAAAAGUGAAAGACGGUCUUGCUGUCACUUAUAGAUGGAUCCGCGCUGCAUUAGCUAGUUGGUAAGGUGACGGCUUACCAAGGCAACGAUGCAUAGCCGACCUGAGAGGGUGAUCGGCCACACUGGAACUGAGACACGGUCCAGACUCCUACGGGAGGCGGCAGUAGGGAAUCUUCCGCAAUGGGCGAAAGCCUGACGGAGCAACGCCGCGUGAGUGAUGAAGGUCUUCGGAUCGUAAAACUCUGUUAUUAGGGAAGAACAUAUGUGUAAGUAACUGUGCACAUCUUGACGGUACCUAAUCAGAAAGCCACGGCUAACUACGUG